rnacentral:misc_RNA from 1 species
GUAGGUGAACCUGCGGAAGGAUCAUUAACAAAUCAUUGUAGAGCGUGCACAUGAGAGAGGUGUGUGUGUAUGUGUGUGUGUGGUGUUGUAAGAGACACCACCACCACCACCACGUCUCUUGAUGUGCUCUGCUCACAUAUAAACCCGAACCUGUGCAGCAAUGCCAGGCGAGGUGUAGGGCCCCCCUCUUUUGGGGGGCUCUGCGGUGAAAGACGGUGAGGAGUCUAAAACAACUCUUCAUAGUCCGGAUCCACAUGGGCGCUUUUUUAAGUUUGACAGUAUCAGUUGACACGAAACAAAAUGACAACUUUUAACAAUGGAUCUCUUGGCUCUU